UGCGACAUUGAGUGCAAAACUGCUUGUUCCAUCCAGGAUCUUAGUAAGUACUAUCUAAAAAGUUUAGUUUGAAACCCCUGCAUCUCACAUAUAAUCACUUCCUCUUUCCCGCUCUCUGCUGUGUGGGAAUCUAAGAAACACUUUCCAUGGCSGGCUGUGUACCUUACUGCCCACAGUGGGUCCUAAUGGAUGCCUUUAGUGAGCUUUCAGCGAAGGAAAACAACAGGAAAAGACGUAUAGUGAAGUUGAAACAGAUGGCAGCUCAGUUAACCUGGUUAUUGACUGUCCCCAAGUUCAGAUCCGAUACAGACUGUGACCUGUUCCUUUUUGAUCAAACCGCACUCUGAUGAAGACUGAGCGUGUCCCCUCACAGACCAGCAAUGCAUCCGUGCAGCAAGACGACGUGGAUCCUUUCUCACCUGUAGAGCUUGUAGUUUGACAUUUUGCAGACAUAAAAGACGUCUGAGAGAGUUGAGUUUGUCUAAUGGUAGACUUCUCCGGCUUUGUCGAGCAGCGCUUUUUAUUUUCUCUCUGAUAAGGUUAAGAGCAAACAGGCAUGUCACAGUGAGUAGCCUGCAGCCUCGAUGGCCCUAAUGAGACAAAUAAAUGAAUUAAGUGUUGCCACAUAGAGCUCCUGAAAGCUUAUUAUCAAGAUUAUUAUUGAACUGUUACGAAAAGGAGGGGGGGGGGGGAGAGAAAAAAUAGAUGUCGGACUGAAACGGGGGCAUGAUUGGCUGAUGUUACAUAUGUCCUUGAUUACCUUCCUUCGGCUUUUAUUCUAAUAAGUGGCAUUCUUUGUACUCCCCGGGACAGCUAGACAGUCUGACACACGAUGAGAAUAAAUAUUGCAUGUGGCAGACAUUAAGCUGUCAUCCUGGAAAAAAAAAGAAGAGAUGGAGAAAUCUGUGUGGUGUUCUUCGAAGCUACACUUUGCCUGCUCUUGUCACAAUUGUCACAUCCUGAUGACUCCCCCCACCUUCCCCCUYCUCUCUCUCUCUCUUACUCUCUCUACCCCAGCCCCCCUUAUUUUUUCUCGCCCAGUCAACCACCAAAAAUGACAGCAUGGAUACUCCAUAUCAAAAAGUAAAUAAAUAAAUGAAUAAAAUAAAAAAUGGUGAUGCACCAUCUCCUUUGGGAUGACCGACAAUAUGAGUUUGUUUAGUUUUUUUAUUAUUGUUAAUAUUCUCACUUCUCUCUUAAAUAGGAUGUAUCUUUGAUAAUGUUGUCUCAGUGACAAAACUAAGUGGCAGCGGUUUGUUAAGUUUUUUUUUUCUGUCAUGUGUGGACAUGUAAAGUUGCGGGAUUUAAUGGGUGCAGUUAUCAAAGAAAGCAAAGUUGUUAAAAAAAAGCUUGUUACCAGCACUCCCUCAAGGUUUGUUUGAGAUACGAUGUGAGAUGAUGCUCUUAAUUAAAGCUGCUCCCAUUGUG